AAAGAACAAAAACGAAAAAAAAAAGACGAGAAAGACCAAAAUCCUUGUGAGAUGGUUCUUUUUCUUUUUUCUUUCUGAGUUUUUUU
rnacentral:ribozyme from 14 species